GCCAGCAGCCGCGGUAAUACGGAGGGUGCAAGCGUUAUCCGGAAUCAUUGGGUUUAAAGGGUCCGCAGGCGGAUGUAUAAGUCAGUGGUGAAAUCCUACAGCUUAACUGUAGAACUGCCAUUGAUACUGUACAUCUUGAAUUCGGUCGAAGUGGGCGGAAUAUGUCAUGUAGCGGUGAAAUGCUUAGAUAUGACAUAGAACACCGAUNGCGAAGGCAGCUCACUAGGCCUGGAUUGACGCUCAGGGACGAAAGCGUGGGUAGCGAACAGGAUUAGAUACCCUGGUAGUCCACGCCGUAAACUAUCAAUACUCGUUUUCGGCGAUAUACAGUCGGAGACUAAGCGAAAGUGAUAAGUAUUGCACCUGGGGAGUACGAUCGCAGGGUUGAAACUCAAA
rnacentral:rRNA from 1 species